GAUCCUGGCUCAGGAUGAACGCUAGCGGCAGGCCUAACACAUGCAAGUCGAGGGGCAGCGGGGAUUGAGCUUGCUCAAUUUGCCGGCGACCGGCGCACGGGUGCGUAACGCGUAUGUAACCUACCCUGAACUGGGGAAUAACACUGAGAAAUCGGUACUAAUACCCCAUAAUACACUGGAAGGCAUCUUUUGGUGUUGAAAGCUCCGGCGGUUCAAGAUGGACAUGGCGUUGUAUUAGCUAGUUUGG
rnacentral:rRNA from 1 species